rnacentral:rRNA from 1 species
AUUGAACGCUGGCGGCAGGCCUAACACAUGCAAGUCGAACGAGUGGCGGACGGGUGAGUAAUGUCUGGGAAACUGCCUGAUGGAGGGGGAUAACUACUGGAAACGGUAGCUAAUACCGCAUACCAUCAGAUGUGCCCAGAUGGGAUUAGCGUGUUGGUGGGGUAACGGCUCACCAGGGCGACGAUCCCUAGCUGGUCUGAGAGGAUGACCAGCCACACGGGGACUGAGACACGGUCCAGCAUCCUACGGGAGGCAGCAGUGGGGAAUAUUGCAAAAUGGGCGAAAGGCUGAUGCAGCCAUGCCGCGUGUAUGAAGAAGGCCUUCGGGUUGUAAAGUACUUUCAGCGGGGAGGCGUUACCCGCAGAAGAAGCACCGGCUAACUCCGUGCCAGCAGCCGCGGUAAUUC